CGGGUAACUGGCUGGCGAAGGUAAAUAUGUUAAACAGAGUGUAAUACGGUACGUGGCAUCUCUUGUCCAUCUUAAAAGAAAAUACUUCAAAUACAUUUGUCUUCAUAACAUUUUGCUACAUUUAGAGUAUUAUGUUUAAUAUUAAAUUAUAUGUACAUUCUCCCAAUGCUAUCAUUUGCAAGCAACCGCAAAAUCCAAACUUUUUUUUCAUAUUUGUUUACGUUUCAAACGUACACGUUGGGCGGGUCAAACGUGCAUGUUGACACGUAACAAUCAAUUUGUUUGAACUGCGAAAUAGUGACGUUUUAGAAAUCUCGCCCAUACGUUUGACCAACGCGAAAGCAUGUUCAAGACCAGAUAUCAUGCGUUUCACAACUUCACAACUUAUACUUUCCUGAUACAGCAAUUUUCGUCCAAGCACAAACCGCAAACAUUUUCGCGCGUUUGUUUACGUUUGAAACGGGGCGUUUACCGCUGGAAACUGAAAUGUUUCACCGCUCAUGUGACGUGUCACAUUGAAAAGCCUUAAGCUAUUUUUGGCGCAACUGCCAUGUUUUGAUGUGCCUUCGUGCACGUUUCAAUAUUUUCCGGCCCAUGAUAAUACGUUCUAGUCACAAAAAGUAUGAAUAUAAACAAGUUUGGUCGCUCUUACAAUAUUGUGAGCUUGGAAACACUGAAAAGUACACGAAAGCACAUCAAAACAUGAAAAAUAAUUGAAUUAGGCUUUUCACUAUAACACGUCGAAUGAGGGGUGUUUCGAAAACGAAGACCUACGAAAACGAAGACCGAAGACCUAAGAUGGGUCUUCGUAAUUACGAAAACGAAGACCCACUACAAAAACGAAGACCCAUC